AUGAAGGAACGCUGCCUGUAACUUAACCUCUUGGUGUGUGUUUUUACUCUCCUGGCUGAUCCUGGGAGCGGUUUGAGAAGUCUCGGGAGCUGCCUGUAAAUGCAUCAGCCUUGGCAAUGCCAGCACGUUUACAGGCAUUGGAAGGGUUUUCCAUGGAAAGGUACUGGGAUAAUCUUCGUCUGCAGAGGUUGUCCGCACCAGCAGAUGAAGCACGUGAAGGUGGGCAGGCAGGAGUAGCUUGGGCAAUGGGAGAGCAAGUCUUUUGGCACAUUUUGGUGAGUGUGUUGCAUUUGGCGUCUCUAGAAAAACCUGCCUCAAAGCUUCCACUGUCCCCUACUGGCUGAAUAAUGGGCAGUCAGGAAAUUUGUUCUCCUGCCCAUAUCUUCAUCUCUGGUUUGAACUCAGACAUGAGUUUCCAGCUGAGGUAACCUCAUCUCCUGCCUCAUCUGCUUGACUUCCUGCAUAUGAUUUGAGGAAAUUGAUUGUCCUUGAGCAUCAACCAGCUCUCCUGGGACUUUUUCCAGUUUGGUACUGACAGGAUCCUGCCUAUGUGUCCCCUGAACAAGCAAAAGUCUGCUUCUCCGAACCCCAAGAUGUUUAUUCUAAUACUUGUCUUCUUGGCUACCCUCCGGGUCUUCCAGUUAGGACUACUCCACCAUUUUAUGGAUAGUCAUUGUGGCCAAAAUUGCCACUGAUUUUUACAUCCUUGACUGUUCACUUGUUUGUAAAUGUUGUGCUUUUAUAGCCUCGUCUGCACCUAUGAAAAACUGUUGCCAGCACAGACCAGAAAUGUUCAAUAUUACUUGCACCCAACAAAAUAUCCAUGUGGUUAGAAGCUCCCAUGAGCACUAAAGCACUAAAAAAAGAAACAAUGGCCCAUCAUGGUUCCUGAUUUGGUGAUCUGUAGCAGAUGUCCACGAGGAUGUUCUAUUUGUUGAUCUCCUGGAUCAAACGACUUUUACUCAUUGACUAUGAACAGUCAUGCCACUCAUCGCGUAGAAUUCAGCAUUUGAGCCACUCUUUUGCACAGAGUAUACUUGCCCAACUUGUCUACCCUGACUGAUCUUCCUAAAGAGUUUCUAUCCAUCCGGCACUCCAGUUGUGUGCUGACUCACACUGUAUCUCUGAGUUUCCAGGUGUGUCAUCACUCUACAUCUGCAGCCAUAUUUUUUUUCCUGGGCUGUGUUUAUAUCAGGUAUAUGAGGUGGGCUCUUGCUCAUUCUGCUUUCUCCUUGUGAUUGUAGCCCUCACUAUGUCACCUCAUGAGUUCUUUCACUCAUCACUUCUUGCUCUGUUGUCUGUAGCCUUUAACCUCCAUCACCCAAUGAAGGUAGAAGUAGCUGUAGAUUAGGGCAGAAUUGGUCCAAUUGAUUUCUUGUUGGUCAUGUUUGAACCGUCAGUAAUUUUACAUGGGAACAAGGACAUUAUUUUGAAGUAUCAAACUGAAACCUGAGGGGAAUAAAAAAAGCUAUACUAUAAUCUGAAGAAGGCCAAGAAAUGGG